GAUGAAGAACGCAGCGUAAUGCGAUACGUAAUGUGAAUUGCAGAAUUCAGUGAAUCAUCGAGUCUUUGAACGCACAUUGCGCCCCCUGGUAUUCCGGGGGGCAUGCCUGUCCGAGCGUCAUUGCUGCCCUCAAGCACGGCUUGUGUGUUGGGCCUCCGUCCUCCUCCCGGGGGACGGGCCCGAAAGGCAGCGGCGGCACCGCGUCCGGUCCUCGAGCGUAUGGGGCUUCGUCACCCGCUCUUGUAGGCCCGGCCGGCGCUUGCCGACACAUCAAUCUUUUUUCCAGGUUGACCUCGGAUCAGGUAGGGAUACCCGCUGAACUUAAGCAUAUCAAUAAGCGGAGGA
rnacentral:misc_RNA from 1 species